rnacentral:ncRNA from 1 species
AGCUCAUCGAGAGCGACGGAGGGACGGGCCCUGUGAAGUCGCGGCGACCGGCGAGAGGAUCGAAGGACGAGGUCUUCUCGCGCUGGUGCCAAGUCCCGCGGAGACAAGAGAGGCCGCAAGGAGCGCGGCCGGUCUUCCGAGAGAUGAGCC